rnacentral:rRNA from 1 species
AUUGAACGCUGGCGGCAGGCCUAACACAUGCAAGUCGAACGAGUGGCGGACGGGUGAGUAAUGUAUGGGAAACUGCCUGCUGGAGGGGGAUAACUACUGAAAACGGUAGCUAAUACCGCCUACCAUCAAAUGGGCCCAGAUGGGAUUAGCUUGUUGGUGGGGUAACGGCGCACCAAGGCGACGAUCCCUAGCUGGUCUGAGAGGAUGACCAGCCACACUGGAACUGAGACACGGUCCAGAAUCCGACGGGAGGCAGCAGUGGGGAAUAUUGCACAAUGGGCGCAAGCCUGAUGCAGCCAUGCCGCGUGUAUGAAGAAGGCCUUAGGGUUGUAAAGUACUUUCAGCGGGGAGGCGUUACCCGCAGAAGAAGCACCGGCUAACUCCGUGCCAGCAGCCGCGGUAAUUC